rfam:Triticum aestivum genome assembly, contig: Triticum_aestivum_CS42_TGACv1_scaffold_050490_1BS
AUAUUGAUGAUGUGUGUUACAAGAGUGGAUCUACCACGAGAUCAAGGAGGCUAAACCCUAGAAGCUAGCCUAUGGUAUGAUUGUUGUUCGUCCUAUGGACUACAACCAUCCGGUUUAUGUAGACACCGGAGAGGGCUAGGGUUACACAGAGUUGGUUACAAUGGUAGGAAAUCUACAUAUCCGUAUCGCCAAGCUUGCCUUCCACGCCAAGGAAAGUCCCAUCCGGACACGGCACGAAGUCUUCAAUCUUCUAUCUUCAUAGUCUUGGAGUCCGGCCGAUCAUGAUAGUUCAGCUAUCCGGACACCCCCUAGUCUGGAACUCCCUCAGUAGCCCCUGAACCAGGCUUCAAUGACGACGAGUCCGGCGUGCAUGUUGUCUUCGGCAUUGCAAGGCGGGUUCUUCCUCCGAAUAAAUUAUAGAAGAUUGUGAACACCAGGAUAGUGUCCGGCUCUGCAAAAAUAAAUUCCACGUACCACCGUAGAGGGAAUAAUAUUACACAAGAUCAAUCUGCUGACGUAUUCUAUGGUGUGACAUCACGCCACUUCCAAGCUUUUACUCGAAUUGUUUUUAUUGUUCCUCCUCAGCGCGUUUAGCGAAGCGGUUUCCUUGGCACGUCUUGUCGAAGCAGAGAUCGUGUUCCCCUUAUACCAGGAUUCCCAUCAAUACGGACAUGGGUAACCCAACCGUGCCAUUGAUUGUGAUGCUUGGGAGAUAAGCGAGUUUUACCAGGCCGGUGGGGACACAUGUUUUUGUCCGCCCAUAUAAGGGGAUAAAGAUCCAACCCUUUUACCUGCGCCUUCUUCCUCCUUGGCUUAUCCAUCUCCGCGAACUCGAGCUCCAGCACCCAAGUCCGCACUUCUCAUCUCAACCUUCUCCAACUAUGUCCGGAGCGGGAGGCAAGUGGAUGGCCUCCUCCGUCACGGAGGGGCAGAUCCAGAAGCUGCGCGACGCUGAAUAUUUAUCCAGCGACAUCGCGCACCGGCUCCCCGACGAGGGAGAGCUCAUCCCCACCCCGAGGCCCCAUGAGAGGGUAGUAUUUCUUCCCCAUUUCCUUCGCGGACUGGGCUUCCCACUUAAUCCCUUUGUCCGGGGGCUCAUGUUCUACUAUGGCCUAGAUUUCCAUGAUCUGGCCCCGAAUUUCAUCCUCAACAUCUCGGUGUUUAUCGUCGUGUGCGAGGCCUUCCUCUGCAUGUAGCCCUACUUCGGGUGGCUCAAGACCUUCAGUGUCAAGCCGAAGGUUGUGAAGGGCAGCCAAUCGGAGUGCGGAGGCGCCAUGGUGGGCAGGAUGUCCCACGUUACGUGGCUGGAGGGCACUUUCGUGGAAACCAUUAAGGGGUGGCAAUCGGGGUGGUUCUACAUCACCGAGCCGCGUGACCCCGAUUGGGCAGCGGCCCCCGAAUUCAGAUCCGGCAUCCCUACACGGAUCACCUCCUGGAAAGAGAGUGGCCGGAUCUGGGGGGAUUCGGAGGAGCUGACCAGACUCCAAGCCUGUAUCCAGAAGCUGGUGGACAAGAAGCUCAAGCUUGUCAACGUAGUCCAGGUCAUGCUCAUCCGCCGGAUUCUCCCGUGCCAACGACGGGGUUUCAACAUGUGGGAGUUCGAUCCGGCGCAGCACCAGACCCUGAGCGGGCUCUUCGACACUACGUACGAAGAUGUCUGGAAGGUGUUGUUCAAGGGCGCCGAGGCUCCCGCAUCCG